UGGGGAAUAUUGGACAAUGGGCGAAAGCCUGAUCCAGCAAUGCCGCGUGAGUGAUGAAGGCCUUAGGGUUGUAAAGCUCUUUUACCCGGGAUGAUAAUGACAGUACCGGGAGAAUAAGCCCCGGCUAACUCCGUGCCAGCAGCCGCGGUAAUACGGAGGGGGCUAGCGUUGUUCGGAAUUACUGGGCGUAAAGCGCACGUAGGCGGCUUUGUAAGUUAGAGGUGAAAGCCCGGAGCUCAACUCCGGAACUGCCUUUGAUACUGGUAAUCUAGAGAUCGGAAGAGGUUAGUGGAAUUCCCAGUGUAGAGGUGAAAUUCGUAGAUAUUGGGAAGAACACCAGUGGCGAAGGCGGCUAACUGGUCCGAUACUGACGCUGAGGUGCGAAAGCGUGGGGAGCAAA
rnacentral:rRNA from 1 species